AGGCCAAACUCCAGGCUUCUUCUGAGACUAUAGAGGUCUAAUGCUUCUGAACCCAUAAAUGUCACAUCUACACCUUCCACAAGUUCCAGCCAUCAACAUGGACAGUGGCGUCAAUUCAGUCGAAGCAAAGCAAAGGUGUGGCGGUUGCCAUACCUCGCCAUACCCAAUUGACGCCCCUGAACAUGGAUCAGCAGCUCCACAUGAGUGAACUGAGUGGUCUGCUAUCCUGUCUGAAGGGGGGAAGGAGGGAUCUGGUGUGGAGAACCACUACCUCAUGAAAUGCUUCAACAGGAGGAAAUGCCCAGCGCCUUGGCCACCAUCCACAUGUAGACUAUGACCAGGUAAAGAUCAAAGACUUGGACAUAUCUAACAACCCUCUGUUGAACAAGAGACGCAGGAGGCCAGUGUCUGGAGAAUCUGAUCGUACAGAGGAAGCUGACACGGAGGAGAAGAGUGGAACAGUCACACAGGAGUUGCAUUCACUGAACAACAUGGGCAAUGCCGAACAAAAUUAGUGUUAAAAUCCAGUGUUUUCAUAUCCUUAUAUAUCCUUUGUCCCUUUUUACAU